rnacentral:rRNA from 1 species
AAACAUCGGUAGGGGAGCAUUCCACUCGGCGUUGAAGGUGAGGCGUGAGCCUUGCUGGAGCGUCUGGAAAAGCAAAUGUAGGUAUAAGUAACGAUAAAGGGGGCGGGAAACCCCCUCGCCGAAAGACUAAGGUUUCCUGAUCAACGCUAAUCGGAUCAGGGUAAGUCGGGUCCUAAGGCUCAGCCGAAGGGCGAUGCCGAUGGCAGAAACGGUUAAUAUUCCGUUACUACCUCCAGGAGUGAUG